UUGACGGGGAGCACCACAACAGGUGGAGCCUGCGGUUUAAUCGGACUCAACGCCGGGAAACUCACCAGAUAAGACAGCUGAAUGAUAGUCGGGCUGAAGACUCUACUUGACUAGCUGAGAGGAGGUGCAUGGCCGUCGUCAGUUCGUACUGUGAAGCACCCUGUUAAGUCAGGCAACGAGCGAGACCCACGCCCACAGUUGCCAGCGUACUCUCUGGAGUGACGGGUACACUGUGGGGACCGCCGCUGCUAAAGCGGAGGAAGGAAUGGGCAACGGUAGGUCAGUAUGCCCCGAAUAUCCCGGGCUACACGCGAGCUACAAUGGUUGGUACAAUGGGUAUCUACCCCGAAAGGGGACGGGAAUCUCCUAAAACCAAUCUUAGUUCGGAUUGAGGGCUGCAACUCGCCCUCAUGAAGCUGGAAUCCGUAGUAAUCGCGUUUCAACAGAACGCGGUGAAUACGUCCCUGCUCCUU
rnacentral:rRNA from 1 species